GCCAGCAUGGCGUAUUGGUGUGAGUGUCGGACUACAGGCCUGAAGACCAGGGAUCAACUCCCUGUUCAGUCA